rnacentral:rRNA from 1 species
UACGUAGGGUGCAAGCGUUGUCCGGAAUUAUUGGGCGUAAAGCGCGCGCAGGUAGUUCCUUAAGUCUGAUGUGAAAGCCCACGGCUCAACCGUGGAGGGUCAUUGGAAACUGGGGAACUUGAGUGCAGAAGAGGAAAGUGGAAUUCCAAGUGUAGCGGUGAAAUGCGUAGAGAUUUGGAGGAACACCAGUGGCGAAGGCGAACUUUCUGGUCUGUAACUGACACUGAGGCGCGAAAGCGUUGGGGGAGCAAAC